AUGGUGGUGGUGGUGGUGAUAAUGAUGUCACCAAGUUUCGAGCCCAGGUUCUCUGUCUCCAGAACAGACUUCUCUCUUCUCCCUAAUGUAAGCUCAGUAAUCUUUCUGUCAUAGAGAGUGCCAGUAAGAUCUUUGCUGAGUCUUAUCUUUGGAAAAGUAGGGCUGGCCUAGAACAGUUAGGCUCUAGUUACUUCUUGAGGACCAUUUUGUGUCUGGGGAAAACAUCUCCCUUGUAGACCUUCUCUGAGCUUGGAAAAUGGGCCAGGGUCCUGAAGGCAGUCAUUGAGUCUGCCAUCUUCUGGGUCUGAAUAUUUACCAAGGGUUGGAAGUGGUAGGCUUUUUUGAAUUGGUUCCCAUGGUUCUUUUGCUAUUGGGUUCAAAUGUUAGAGGUGCUGGAAGGCAGAAUGUCAGCUGGUGUCAGGUUGCCUAGGUUUAAAAUUCUGGCCGUAUACCUGCUGGCCACCUGAUCCUGGAGAGUUGCAUAACCUCCCCAGACUGUUUAUUCCUCUGCAAAAUGAGAAAAUGGGAAGUCUUGGAGGUUCUCAGGAGAAACAUCAAGUAGGGGACACUGUAGCAUAUAGUCAGUCCACAAGUACAUGUCACCUGCAUCAAGAGGAGGUUCAUUUUCUUCAACGAAGAUGACUUGUCUACCUGGAAGCUUUUUUGCAAGGGGGAGAAAUCCUUAAAACAAACCUGAGAGUGUUGGGUUGUUCCAAACCUGUUUUGUUUUAAGGAUUCCAGACAGACUUAAGGUAGCAUUUUUGUUACUGGUUUUAUUGUUCUGAACGGCCUCAAAAGGUAUCUUUGAAGCUCCAAAGGUAACAAAUAAGGCCUCUGGUGGGAGCCAUCAUGUAGUAAAGUCUUAGCAAUGAACUGAGCUGCCCCGCUUCAGGUUUUACAGUCACUGUCUCCCAGCAGGCCUCGCCAGGAAUGGUAGACAGUACCAUGCCUGCCGCUCUGAGGGCUUCCAGAAAGAGAAGGCAGAUAGGGUGACUCAAAGGGAGCCAUUUCCUCCCCAAGCCCACGCACCUCAGCCUGCAGGCUGCACCCUGUCAAGACCCUUCUACCACACGCACACACUGAAGCACAGCUCAGAGUCCUGAGAGGCUCACAGCCUCUUUUGCUAGGAAAUCUGACUGCAGCCUGCCGUUCUGGAUCUGAGCUAAAUUCCCUCCCCAGCAACAGCCAGCCCAGCAGCAGCACUUUGUCAGAAAGCAAUCUUCCAGCUUGUGGCUGGCAGCUUGCAUGCUGGCUGCAGGGUCUUCAGCCUGCCCACUAGCCCUGCAGGGCAAGGCUUGUCCAAAUAUUUGGCUUGAACCUGCUCUCUGAUUCAUCCUGUGCAGAAACCUCUGUAAUUUCAUCUACCGUGUGACUCAGACAGGAGCUGAACACAAGUGCUAUGUACCAGCAGCCGAAGCCUGCACGGAGGGCAGGCCGGCAUCCAGUGCCCACAGCGCCCAGCCUGGCCUCCUGGGCUGGGCGAGAGGUAUAGGCUCUCUCCAGCCUGGCUGGCCGGAGAUUAAAUCUCUUUAGUCUGAGAUGAUUAAUGGAGCCCCAAACACGCCUCAGCAUAGGGUGUAAAAUGCACCUUGUUCCUUUUCCAAGUCCUCCCCCCUUUUUAAAAUGCUAAAUCCAUUUGCAUCUCAUAAAUUAUAUUGGCUCCAAAAUGAAGUGCUCCUGACAGCCUGAGGCAGGGUGUGGGUUCCACAGAAGCAUUGCCCUUGUUGUCUCCUCUCUAGGAGACCCUAGGAAAGAGCCCGCUUAUCUUCUAAGGGAGGAGGGAGGAACAGCCAAGCAUGACCUAGAUUCCAAAUCUAAAGACAGGUAAGGCCGGUUCACCUGCACAUCUGCAGCGGGCUGCAAGGCGAGGUUUCAGAGGUGCCCCACAGAAGGAGGUUCCCUUGUGGCUCAUGGGGGACAUGGCCAUCUUCUUCCUCAGUCAGUUAAGAAAGAACACACGUUAGGCUAGCGGGGUCCCUUGAUCUUCCUGGUGCCUCUUGGGGGAUACUACCUGGGUGGGAGGUAGGGGGGUGGUUGACAGCAAAGGUAAAUGAUUCUUGUGGAGGUAAGGGAGGGGUGCCUGACAAGUGAGUGGGGUGUGGAGGUGGUAGUUCAGACACCAGGGUGCCCAGAAACCAGAAACAAUGGGUUCUCACCCUCCCUUCCCAGCUCUGUGCAUCGGGGAAAGUCACCCGAUCUCUGAAGUUGCUUUUUCCUCCAUCCCUUCUUUCAACACACACUUCCUGAGCCUUCCCCUCCUUGUCAGGCCUAGAGUUCCCCCUCAGCCCUUGAAUUCUAGACAGUACACAGCAUACAUAGCUGCACGCGCUCACAGAAUGCCAGGCGGUGGCGAAGUCUAAGAUGAUAGAGUGUCAUUCAUGUGGGCCAGAGAGACCUACGGCUAUCGGUAAGGAAGAUGAAGGUUACAGACUCAGAGCCGGAGGAGCAGCAGCAGGCUGAGGGGGAUCUGCAGAGACAAGGGAAACCCACGAGCAGAACAUAGGGUGAGCUUCUGUCUCAUCAGACCACUGGCCGUGGGGCGUGGACUGAGGAUGCUAAAGGGAAGAAAAUAAACCUGGAAGGGAAGUGGCUUAGAAGCCAGGGCGAAUGACAAAGCCAUAUUCAGCUGUCACCUCCCUGGCUCUCUCUGUGUGCCCCACCCCCACCCCCCACCUCCAAGACACAGGUGGCUUCACCAUCCCAAAAGGUCAGCUGGCUGGGGUUUCACGAGCGGGCGGGCAUUCCAGCCCUGGGGGCCCCCACACAGGGAGCACACUGCCUGUGGUCAAGCCUCUCAGUUCCCAACCAGGACCAACUGCCCCGGGAACUCUGACCUGUGCAGGGGCAUCAGCUGCUGCCAGGGAGGGGUGGAGCUGGAGAGGGAGGGGAGAGGCAAGCUUGCCUCUGGCAACUGUCCUUGCCCAAGGGACCUGAGCCAUGCAUGGUAAGGGGUGUGAACACUCCAGGAAAGGAAGGAAAACACACACACACACACACACACACACACACACGUGUAAAUGUUUUUGUAAGCAUAUGCAUGUGUGACUUUUCAUUUCUGUAGCUUAAUUUCCCAUAUUGUUUUUUUUUCUUUUUUUUUUUUUUCUUUUUUUCUUUUUUUCGGAGCUGGAGUCCGAACCCAGGGCCUUGCGUUUGCUAGGCAAGCACUCUACCACUGAGCUAAAUCCCCAACCCCAAUUUCUCAUAUUGUAAGUAAGCGUGUAUUGGAAAAAGUUCUCAUACAUGAAGCAGAGUCAUAUAUGACUGUCGUCAUAUAUGAAGGGCAGUUCCACGGUUUGACCUCUGUGCCCUGUCUUUAGGCCCUGAUCGUUGUUCGAGAGGACUCCACUGUGGGAUCCACUUUGUUAGGGUGCUAGGUAUGGAACUCCAGGAAGCACAUGCUGUUACCGGUUCUCUACCACUGAACGCUACCCAGCCCAUCCAUGAGGACAAAUUGCUUUAUGAUUUACUGACAGAAGCCAAAGGGAAUUUUGCAUUCCUCUUUUGUUUUAUUUGUUUAUUUAUUAUAGUGUUGAGGAUUUAACCGUGGUUGUCCUCCCUACUAAACGCGUGCUUUACCGGUGAGCCCAACCCACAGACUCUUUUCCACUUUCUGAGACCAGGUUUCACUCAGUUGCCCAAGCUGGCCUUGAAUUUGCCACCCACCCUCCAGGCCUCAACUUUCCAGCUCCCUGGAAUUGCUUUUAAGAUUAGAAAUGGGUGGGGGUGGAGCUUGGCCCUCUCCCCAGAGGGAACCUUGCAGACAGGGUGCAAAGCCCCGCACUCAGCACUUUUCGCCCCUGUCCCUUCCCCUUUUACUUCCGGGCAUGAGGACAUGACUUGGGACCCUGCCUUUCUCUUCCAGGGAGUACGCUGUGCUUUUCUCUUCUGGGUCAGUGUCCCACAGUGCCCGGUGCAGUGGUCUCAAACGGGGACUCCUCUGGGUUUCUUCCUUUGUUCCUGUAAGGAAAAUGACAAAGCACUGCGAGCCAGGCUGGGCCCAACUUGGACAGCCCAUCACCAGUGUGCAGACUCAGCUGAGAAAUACACUCCUUCCCAGGCUUUCUGUGGGCACAGGCGGCGUACUGAAGGCUGUCAAGUGGCGGCGAGGAAGCCAGCCUCAUCCCCAGCCGCUGUGCCAGCCAGCCCAGCAGCGAACAAUUCCUGUAAGCAGAAAUCAGCCCUCCCUGUUCAGUCACAAAAGCAGGGCUGCCUUUCAGAUGGGACCAGCGGAGGAGUGUUUCAGAAAUAAAGGAAGUAACCUUUACAUCUUGGGGGAAGUUUAAAGAUACCCAGAGAAUGAAAUCUCAGAUUCCGCUGUCCUGAAAGCCCGAGGCUGGUCGUGAUCCUCUGCCUUUGUUCCCCUCCUUUGUCUUGGUUACGCGUGCCUGGCCACACUCUACCUGUGGUUUUAUUGUCUCCCUCAUGGAAGCUGGCAGGGCAUAAAUCAAAAACAGGAAGGUGAAUCCAAACAGCCAGCCGCUUCUCCUGGCUUCUUCCCUAGGCUCUUCCUGUGGUCUGAGCCUGGGUCUAACAACACCGAGUCCGGCCUCUUGGGAGUCUCCUCUAUGAAGCUGUCUCCAUUCCUCCUGCUGGGCACAUGAUGCCAGAAGUGGCUGGUCUACAGGCGGGUGGUGGCUGCAGCGGAAGCAGGGUUGCCUGACUUGUGGAGAGGCUCCAAGGCAGGAUUGUAAUAUCCUGGCCAAAAGAUAGAAAAGGAAUGUUUUCUAUACCCGAGUCCAGCUGUGGAGGGAAACCAGUGCUGUGCCAAAGCACCCACCUCCAGACCCUGUACUUAUUUGGAAGGGCAGCCACAAAGAAGAACCUUCAUCCGAAGUCAAGGUCAAUGUACUGUCCUAAGCCAUUAGCCUUGCAUAGAUUAGUGGGUUAAUACAGAGCUGUCUCGACAGAUGAAUUACACCCAGAAGCUGAGUAGGAGUCCUUGGGCUUGACAUUGAAAGGUCCAGUUAUCAUAGGGAGAGUGAUGCCUGCUUAAUUUUGAUAGGGCUUAAUUAUUGUGAUAAAUGUCCUUGGACUUUAACUCCUUCCUUACCUAUGGACCAUACACUUGUGUCUCCCAAGGAUUCACAUAUGGUAACUAACCCAAAGGGACGGUAUGUGAGGGUCCCUUUGGGAGGUGAUCAAGUUUGAGUGAGUUGACUAGAAGUCAUAGUUCGAUCAGAAGAGAAAGGUUAGAGUUUUCUUUCUUCCCAAUAUGAAGAUGCAAGAGAAGGUAGCUGUCUUCAAACCAGAAAGCCGACCCUACCAGGCACGAGAUCUGCUGUUGACUUGAUCUUGGACUUUUCCAGCACUAUGAGAAAACAAUGUCUGCUGUUUAAUAUGCCCAAGUCUGCAGUGUCUUGUUAUAACUCCUUAAACUAAUGCAGAACCAACAGAAGAUAUAUAAGAGAAGCUAGGGACAGGAGACAUGGGUGCUUGCUGCCAAUCCUGACGACCCUAGUUCAGUCCCCAGGAACCACAUGGUACCAGGAGAAAACUGACUCCCACGGAUUGUCCUCUGACCUCUACACACACACCAAGGCAUGUGCAUGCAUGUGUAUACUCGACCACCAUACACAAUAAUCAAAUAGAUAAAUAUGACUUUAAAAUAUUUUAAAGAAAGCCAUAAUAUGGAAGUGGUUUAUACAGGCCAAAGUGCACCACAGUCUGCCACUUACUAAGUGGAAACACAAGAAUGCUGGGGUGGGACUUAUGAGUCUGAAGGCCUGUGAUCCAAGGAAGCUAAUGGUGUAAGUCUCCUUCAGAAGUAAAGACUGAGCACUAGGGGUUCAGGAAGAAGGUGGGAGAAGGCCUUUUGCUGAAGGAGUACACCUCAGGGAUAAAGGGAAAUCAGAAUUCACUUUACCACGCUUUUCACUCAAAGGCCAUCACCACUUAGAUGAUGCUGUCGUGUUGGUGAGGAUGGAUCUACUGACUCAGAUGCUAACCUCAGUCACACCUGGAAUGUUUUACCGACUUCAUGGGAAUCCCUUAGCCCAGACUCACUGACAGACAAUAUUUACAGACACGGAGUGUCAGAAUGAGAACCAGAAAAUCACCGGGAUGGAUAAGAGAGGGCUGGUCCCUUCCCUUCCCAGUCACCCCUGCGAGAGUUCACAGACGAUAAAUCUACCCCUAUGUAUCUCAAAAAGAUACAUCCUUAUCAUCUGUGCUUGAUCCUGAAAUUGAUCAGAAGAAAUUAGAUAUUGUUUUGGAACAAACAUAUAAUUGAAAUAAUAGAACCUCAAAAGAUAUGGGAGCCAGGUAUAUACAAUGCCAGAAAAUGCAGAAAGCUCUUCUGUCUUCUGCAAAAAUUCUACCUCUGUGUGUGUGUGUGUGUGUGUGUGUGUGUGUGUGUGUGUGUGUGUGUGUUUGGAGGUCAUAGGAAAACAAGAUGUCAUUUUUCUCAAGUGUGGUCUACCUCAUUUUGUGAGAUGGGGUUUCUUACUGGCCUGGCACUCACCAAGUAGGCUGGACGUGAUGGCAGUGGGCUCUACGGAUCCACCAGUCUCUACCUCUCCAUUGCUGGAGUGAGAAAAGUACACAGCAGCAUACCACUCUUUUUGUGCGGGUACUGAGGAUAGAACUCAGGUCCCUGUGUUUGCAUGGUAAGCACUUAAUGAAGCCAUAUUCCCAACUUAUGUUCUUGCCUUCUGUCAUAAGUAGUUUUUGCCAUCUUGACACAAAUACAGAUAUUUGUUGUGCUGGCUAAUUUUCUGUCCAUUUGACCCAAGCUGAUGGUCCUAGGUGCUAGAAGAAAGCAGGCUUAUGAUCCAUAAAGAUCAAGUCUGUAAGGAGCCCCCCCCCCAUGGUGUCUGCAUCAGUUCCUGCCUCUAGAUUCCUGCCUUGAGUUUCUACCCUGACUACCGUGAGGAUGGAGUGGCAUGUGAAAGUGUGAGCAAAAGAAACCCUUUCUUCCCCACUAGCUUCGAUCAUGAUGUUCAUCACAGCAAUGGUAACCUAACUAGGAUAGAACUUGGUACCAGGAAUGGGGUAUUGUUGGGACAGACAUGACCAUGUUUUUAGGAUGAUUGUGGAAGGGCUUUGAAACUGGAUGAGAAAAGCCACUGAGUAUUGAGAACACAGUGGGAUUUUCUGGAGGAGUUUAGAGGAUACAAUGUUGAGAACAGUGCAGAUGAAGGAGGCCUGGCUUGUGAUGUUUCAGAGGGAAGCAAAUAUUCCACUGGGCCAUUUGUAUGAAGAAUCUGUAGUGUCUGUCUGGUCAGCUGGGGCUGAAAAAUCAGCCAUUUUUCAUCACAAGAGAAAAGGACUGCUAAAAUAAAACCAUUGUUUUGCUGGGACAAUGGAUUCUGGUAGGCUAGGCCUUAAGAAUCAUCUGUGAUUAAAAAGAGACCAGCAUCAGAGGUGAAGUCUUCUGGAAAGUGUUUCCUCAAAGAUAGCAUAUGCAAGCUGUAUUCCUGAAGUUGAUAAGGCUGUACCUUGUGGUGUCCUUGAACUUGGUAGUAAGAGUCACUGAGCUGGUACUGGUUCUGAAGGCAUGAAAGGGGUCAUGAACAGCAGCUGAGGCUGGGCACUGUGUGUGUUAGGAUUAGGGUCCCUAAAGAGAGCCCAGGAGAGGCUAUUGAUCAAAGUGCAAUCCAGUUGCUGCAGCAAGAAAAUCCCAGUGUUUUGGAAAUGCCAGUACCGUGGGUUGCCCACCAAGCAUAGCACCAGGGAUGGAGUGAAUUAGCCGGAGGCUGGAAAACCAGCCAUGUGUGCUGCUGCAGAGGAUAGAACAGAGAACUGAUCCAAACCCAGAAGACUGUGCGGGAAUCCCAGAUAUUGGACAUUGAGUUAUUUCCAUUAUUGGAGUUUGAGUUUGCUGUGUUCAGAUUAUGGUUCUUCCUUCUUUUUUUUUUUUUUUUUUUUUUUUUUUUGGUUCUUUUUUCCGGAGCUGGGGACCGAACCCAGGGCCUUGCGCUUCCUAGGUAAGCGCUCUACCACUGAGCUAAAUCCCCAGCCCCGGUUCUUCCUUCUUGAAAUAAGAAAAAAACUUUUGAUUUUAUAGACGCUCACAGUUGACAGAUUUAAAUUUAAAACAACAACAACAACAAUAACCUGGAGUUCUACAGAGACUUUGAGUUUUUGAAAUUGGAUAUUUUUAAAGAGACGACUUUUAAAGUGUUUGAAUUUGUAAAGCUCUGGGACUUUUAAUUUUUUAUUUUAAUAUAAGCAAAAUACUGUAUAUUGCAAUGUCUUUAUUGAUGUGUGAACUGGGGGAUGAAAAAGAAAGGAAAGGUUGCGACUUAACACGGAUAUGUUUGUGUGUCAAGUUGAUAAGCAAUCAGUUGUGCUGGCUAGUUUCAUGGCUACAAUCAUCUGAGAGGAGAGGACCUCAAUUGAGAAAAUGCCUCCAUAACAUCAGGCUGUAGACAAGGCUGUAGGGCAUAUCCUUGAUUGGUGAUUGAUGGGGGAGCGCCCAGCCCUUUAUGGGUGGUGCCAUAGGCUGGUGGCACUAGGUUCUAUAGGAAAGCAGGCUGAGCAAGCAAUGAGGAGCAAGCCAGUAAGCUGCACCCCUCCAUGGCCUCUGCAUCAGCUCCUGCCUCCAAGUUCCUGACUUCUUUUGAUGUUUGCACAGUGAUGUGGAAGUGUAAGUCAAAUAAACCCCUUUCCUCCUCUAGUUGGUUUUGGUCAUGGUGUUCACCACAGCAGUAGUAACCCUAACUAGAACACCAAGGAAAAUUAGUCACUAGGAUCAGAGAGGAGGACAAGGUUGUUGAGUGACCACAAAUCAACAGGUGCCCAUACCUAGUCCUCCUUGCUCUGGCUAAAAACGUUUCUCAGAAGUACUUCAAAUAUAGUUCGCAAAAAUAUUUCUCUGGUUCUCACUUGCCUUUCCAUUCCCCAGGCUCUGCCUUGGUGGUUGCAGGAAUGGCCAGCCCUACAGCCCACUCCACCUCUUGUGCUUUCUCUCAUCCAGGAGCACAUGUCGGUUUCUGCUCUCAUUCAAGACUUCCCUGUCGAUCACAGUGGGUCCCAGCGGAGCAUCAUCCGGGGCCCUGGCUUCAGGUGGCAUGUGGGCUAAGCAAGCUGUCUACAGGGGGCCCUCUGCUUCUAGGCCGUUGUGCUUUUUCCUCAUAAGACGCCCCCUCUUUCUGUGCUAUCCUGCACUCUCAUUUAUCCCUUUUCAAGUCACACGGGGCCUCUUUCUCAAGGCCUAGAUUCCUGGCAAACUCUCCGAGCUAUGAUUUCAGGACACCACACACCCUAGUGACUUGACUAUGGUUGGUCUCCAGCCUGGAUGGUCAGACCCCGGGAGGCAGGUGUGCUGGGCACAGCCUCAGACAAUAGAUGUCGCUUCCGGGCUAGUUCUCCCAGCCCCGCUGUAGACAUCACCAGGAGCCGGGGAAAAUCCCAGCCAGGCCUAUUUCGGGUUCCGUACAUCCUCACGUGUCCUCUUUGCCCAAGCUUCUUCCUCUCCAGAGAGUUCCUUAUCUACAACCUCCUGCCACCCAAAUCCAAACUGGAGGUGGCCCUGCUGGCCUAUUUCCUGCCUCUGCCACCUUGGAUCUGUGUCAGAGGCCGGUGUUUCAAACCAGGCUCUGAACUUCUUCCGGGUUCUGUGAAUUUGGCCAUUGUUUCCUUCGCUGCCAAGCCUUCGCUUCACCUCUUAAAUGAAGCUGUUGUUGUUGCUUGUUCUUUUAGUUAAAACUGAACAUGUCCCUUCCAACCUAUCCCCUUCCCCUGAGGAGUCUUUGUUAGUUCCUUCCAGUGGAGCUGGUGUGGCCAGAGCUGUUUCUGUCUGAAUUUACGAGCACAUGUAAGGUUGACCUAGUGCCAUAGCAAGAACCCCACACACUGCUCUCCUAUGCCUUGUGGAUCCCCCACCCCCACCAGCUGAUUUCUUUGCUUUUUCCUGUGGGGUGCUCCUGCCAUUGCUUGACUUGGCAAGGUAACAAGUGACCUGUAAGUCUGUUAGCUCCUACAACAGACAUUUAAAUUGUUCAGUGAGAUGGCUCAGCAGGUAAAGGCUUUUGGCAUCAAAUCUGAUGACCUGGAUUCCAGUUCGAGACUCACACAGUAGAAGGCGAGAACUGACUCCAUAAGUUGUCCAUUGACCUUCAUAUGCAUGCCCCCCCGAACACACACCCUAAAUAAAUGUAAUAUAUUGGGCCAAAGAGAUGGCUUAGUGGGUCAAAGUGCUUGACUAGAGUUUGAUUCCCAGAACCCAUGUAAAAAUUCUGGUGCAGUAAUAUACAUCUGUAAUUCCAAUGCACCUAUGGUUGGAUGGGAGGGAGGCAGAGAUAGGAGCAUUGGCCAGCAGCUCCAGGGCUGCCCAACUCGGAGUACCUGGAGGACAUAGUGCACAGGUAGAAGUAAGAGAGACCCUGCCUCAGAACAAAAUAGAAGGAGAGAGUCAACUCCAUGAAACUUGUCUUCUGACCUCCACAUGCAUGCCACAGUGUGCCUCUGUGUGUCUGUGCCUGUGCCUGUGCCUGUGCCUGUGCCUGUGCCUGUGCCUGUGCGUGUGUGUGUGUGUGUGCGUGUGUGUGUGUGUAUUCUGUGAUCAUUGUAGAUCUGCCAACAGCUACAAGAAAAAGCAGAGAAAUGCCACUUACCCAUUCCCUAGUUUCCCCCAAUGACAAAAUCCUCCAAAACUAUACACAGUUUUGCAACAAGGCUAUCAGCAUAGAAACAGUCAAGAGAUACCCAUAAUAUCCCAUUGAUGUUUUUAGAAUAUAACUAGUUCUCUCCUAAUCUCAACUUCCACCCCCUGCACUCUGUUCCUCACCCCAGGAAGUAUCAAAGAUGACUGCUAUUUCUAUAACUAUGUCACUUUAUGAAUGGCAUGCAAAUGAAGCCACACAGCACUUAACAUCUGGGCUGGCUUUUAUCUCAGCACAGUUGUCUUUGUGUAUCCAGGCUGUGUGUACCCAGGCUGUGUGUAUCCAGGUUGUGUGUAUCCAGGUUGUAUUCAAUCGGAUCGUAUAUAUCAACAGUUGGCUCCUUUUUUAUUGCUGGCUAAUAUUCCUUGAAAUGGAUGUACCCUGUACUACAGUCUGUUUAACCAUUCAUCACCUGAUUUGUUUACAGUGUUAGUACACAAUUUCUAAAAUUACUGUAAAUAUGUGUGGGCAAGUUUUAUUGGAAUAUACAUUCCCUUUCUCUAAAAUAAACACACAGAGAGUAGUGCUGAGCCAUGUGACAGUUGCAUGUUAUGCUAGUCUAUUGUAAUUUUAAUUAAUUAAUUAAUUAAUUAAUUUUUAGGGCUGGAGAGAUGGUUCAAAGGUUAAGGGCACUGACUGCUCUUCCAGAGGUCCUGAGUUCAAUUCCCAGCAGCUACACGGUAACUCACAACCAUCUGUAAUGGGGUUCAGUGCCCUCUUCUGGUGUGUCUGAAGACAGCAACAGUGUAUUCGCACACAUAAAAUAAAUAAAUAAAUCUUUUAAAAAAUUACCUUUUAAACAGAUACAAAAGAGCAUAAAAUGUACAUGGUUGGUGGGUGGCUUAUGAAAGCUGUUUAAACUGUAUAACAGUCAAGUCAGGUCAAAUAUAUCUAUUCACCAAAUAGAUAUAACUUUUAAUGAUAAAACCCUCUCAAUCCCCUUUUCUGGCUUUCUGAAACAAACAGCACACAAUUGGCCGGGCGGUAACUACCUGCCGCUUGGUAGAACAGCGGAGCUCCCUGCUGCUAUGUAAGGGUGACUUAGCUCUCAGUGGGCUGCCCUUGCACUUUCAUCUCCCCUCAGUUUGGGGGACUCCCAUUGUCCUCUCAAUUCCUAUGAGGUGAAUGUUUUAGAUUCCGCAUUGGAGUAUGCAGACAUCUCUCUGAGCCUGGAUUAUUUUACCUAACGAUAUCUCCAGUUCCAUCCACAUUUUCUUCCCCAAACGAAGCAUGCAUAGUUUUAAACCAAGCUCCUUUGCAGGGGCUGAGCCAUUUACACCCCUUCUACAUAACACAUCAGCAGUCCGGUCCUCCGCUGUAUUUCUCACCAUCCUUAUUUUUUGCCAUGCAGAGAACCAAGUGUAGGCCCCGCCUUCCAUGUGAACCGUCCCGACAGAUAAUGUGUUGGAAUCUCACUGGAGCUUCACCUUUUGUGUCCAUAAUGCCCAGGGCGUGUUGCUCUUGGUUCCCCCCGCCCCUGUGUUCUGAAAUGUCGUCAUAGAUUCUAAAUACGAGCUGACAUGAGAUAAGUGUUUCACAAGCAUUUUUCUCCCACCCUUGUGUCUUUUCAUCCUUAGCAAAAUCUUUCAUAAAGUUUUAAACUUUAAUAAAGUUCCAUUUAUCAGUUUCUCU